rnacentral:rRNA from 1 species
AACGAACGCUGGCGGCAUGCCUAACACAUGCAAGUCGAACGAGACCUUCGGGUCUAGUGGCGCACGGGUGCGUAACGCGUGGGAACCUGCCCUUAGGGUCGGAAUAACUCCCCGAAAGGGGUGCUAAUACCGGAUAAUGUCUUCGGACCAAAGAUUUAUCGCCUUUGGAUGGGCCCGCGUUGGAUUAGCUAGUUGGUAGGGUAAAAGCCUACCAAGGCGACGAUGCAUAGCUGGUCUGAGAGGAUGAUCAGCCACACUGGGACUGAGGCACGGCCCGGACUCCUCCGGGAGGCAGCAGUGGGGAAUAUUGGAAAAUGGGCGAAAGCCUGAUCCAGCAAGGCCGCGUGAGUGAUGAAGGCAUUAGGGUUGUAAAGCUCUUUUACCCGGGAUGAUAGUGACAGUACCGGGAGAAUAAGCUCCGGCUAACUCCGUG